GGGCCAUUAGCACAGUGGUAAUGUACCGCAUUCGCAUUGCGGUGACGGGGGUUCGAUUCCCCCAUGGUCCA
rfam:Candidatus Blackburnbacteria bacterium RIFCSPLOWO2_01_FTLL_41_27 rifcsplowo2_01_scaffold_2893, whole genome shotgun sequence.